CUGCUCUCCAAUUGCCAUGCAUUGUUUGAGGACCCUAAUCAGAGCUCUGAGGGAAGAGAAACCUGCAAAACCCCUCCCAGAAGAGUUCCACAGGGAUGGGCUUUAGGGAGGUGGUCUACUCUGAAACAAGCAGGCCUUCUGAGAUGAGGGGAGAGACUGUCAAAUAGCCUGAUGGCACAGUAGCUGGAAAAUUAAACACUACCUUGGUCCGAAGUCCUUGGAAAUGCAGGAACAGAUGCAUUGCCAUCAGAAAGAGUCUCCCUUGAGAGGGAGGCACAGCCGCCAGCAGCUCAAUUGAGAUGCUCCCUCUUCUGAAGGUGGCUGGAGACAGUGGAGUGAUUUGUAGCCGGAAAGAAUCGUGCCAAAGAAGCUGGCACUUUUCAGCCAAAGGGAGCUGAUUAAUUCCCAGUGUCCCACAGGAUGCUCUGAGAGAAUCCAUACUGCUCACAGUGCCCAUCAUCUUCCUCCUCCUUCUGUGUCUUCUUGAAGCAGAAUUACUAAAUAAUAAGCCAUCCUCCACAAAGACAGACAAGCGUGCUAGUCUUACCGCACUUCAGAAAUAUCUCUACUGGAUACAAAUUAACUUCAUAGGAAAACAGUUUCCACUGAGCAGGCAGGACAUGUUCCUUUUCUUGUUCAUGCAAAGUUGGAAAAUGUUUCUUUGAUAUACAAAGAUAAUCCUACUACUUUGCUAUCAGUUACACAAAAGUGUGACGUUUGUGGGAAGUAGAUAUUCUUGCACAUUUCUCUAGGGACCAAGUAUUCACUUUUUUAAAAAGAUAAUUAGCUGCAUUUUUAAGAUAACUAGCUCAACUAAUGUUGAGCUAGAGGAUAAAUGAGGGGCUUGAUUAAUGAUUCUUCUGCAACUAGGUUCAGAAUAGUCUCUAAUAAUAAUUAAAGUUCUGUUUUUUGUUUAGGUGGCAGUCUGAGGCCAGUGUUAACAAUAAAUGUGUAAUUAGGAUGGUCAUAUUUACAUGUUUAUCCAUGGCCAGGGUUAGGGAUAUUUUCUUCAUAUAAGAAUUAGAGAUUAAUGGUGAACCAUACUUAUAGAUCACAUAGGACCAGAGUUAUAACAGUAAAACUGAGUUAACUGGCACAUUCUGGGAUGAACCCCAUGACUCCAUUGCCUUUACAUGGAACCCUCUAGCUACCGUAAAUGUGCAAAGUCAUAUAUACAUAAUAUUGUAUAUUUUGUAUCUUCUUGUUUAUUGACACUGCUCACAGCAUAUCUAAGUGAUUUCAUAUGACAAGCAGAUUUAGUAAUCACCAACCCCUGACUUUUAAUCCUGAAACUUGUUAUGUGCCCUCAAGCAACUCCAUUCUUUCAUGGAUUAAUUUUGUUAGGGAGUUGAACUGCCCUUAUACAUGGAAAUCUAUUCUCAUCCCAAUCUCCCGCUUUCCCUUGUUUCCUUCAAGUCCCAGUAAAAAUCUCCCCUUUCACAAGAAACCUUUCUUUGUUUUUACUUUUUAUUUGUUUUUUUUAGAGGCAAUCUCAUUCCAUUUUGAAUACAGAAUUUACUUGA